AUGAACUCAGGACUCAAAUUGGUUUUCUUUGUCCUUAUUCUAAAAGGUGUCCAGUGUGAGGUGCAGCUGGUGGAGUCUGGGGGAGGCUUAGUACAGCCUGGAAAGUCCCUGAAACUCUCCUGUGAGGCCUCUGGAUUCACCUUCAGUAACCAUUACAUGAAUUGGGUCCGCCAGGCUCCAGGGAAGGGGCUGGAGUGGGUCGCAUACAUUAGUAGUGCUAGUAGUUAUAUCUAUUAUGCCGACGCUGUGAAGGGCCGAUUCACCAUCUCCAGAGACAAUGCCAAGAACAUACUGUUCCUACAAAUGAACAGUGUGAAGUCUGAGGACACUGAGAAAUAUUACUGUGCAAGAGACACAGUAAAUAGUUUUGGGUUAAUAAUUAAAGGAGAGAUAGCCAAUAAGGGCCUCAAGCCACUGGCUAACAGUUAA